rnacentral:ncRNA from 2 species
CACUCAUCAACCCUGUGACAUACCUAAACGUUGCUUCGGCGGGAACAGACGGCCCCGUGAAACGGGCCGCCCCCGCCAGAGGACCCCUAACUCUGUUUCUAUAAUGUUUCUUCUGAGUAAAACAAGCAAAUAAAUUAAAACUUUCAACAACGGAUCUCUUGGCUCUGGCAUCGAUGAAGAACGCAGCGAAAUGCGAUAAGUAAUGUGAAUUGCAGAAUUCAGUGAAUCAUCGAAUCUUUGAACGCACAUUGCGCCCGCCAGUAUUCUGGCGGGCAUGCCUGUUCGAGCGUCAUUACAACCCUCAGGCCCCCGGGCCUGGCGUUGGGGAUCGGCGGAGCCCCCCGUGGGCACACGCCGUCCCCCAAAUACAGUGGCGGUCCCGCCGCAGCUUCCAUCGCGUAGUAGCUAACACCUCGCGACUGGAGAGCGGCGCGGCCACGCCGUAAAACACCCAACUCUUCUGAAGUUGACCUCGAAUCAGGUAGGAAUACCCGCUGAACUUAAGCAUAUCAAUAAGCGGAGGA